rnacentral:rRNA from 1 species
AGCAGCCGCGGUAAUUCCAGCUCCAAUAGCGUAUAUUAAAGUUGUUGCAGUUAAAAAGCUCGUAGUUGAAUUUCGGAAUCAGUACGCCGGUCAUGCUUCGGCAUGUACUAGUGUCACUGAUUCCUUCCUUCUGACGAACCGUCAUGCCAUUAAUUUAGUGUGACGGGGAAUCAGGACUGUUACUUUGAAAAAUUGAGUGUUUAAAGCAGGCUCGCGCUUGAAUACAUUAGCAUGGAAUAAUGAAAUAGGACGUUGAUCUUAUUUUGUUGGUUUCUUAGAUCGACGUAAUGAUUAAUAGGGAUAGUUGGGGGCAUUAGUAUUCAAUUGUUAGAGGUGAAAUUCUUGGAUUUAUUGAAGACUAACUGCUGCGAAAGCAUUUGCCAAGGAUGUUUUCAUUAAU